GGGGAUGUAGCUUAGUUGGUAGAGCGCCGCCUUUGCACGGCGGAGGUCAGGAGUUCGAGUCUCCUCAUCUCCA
rnacentral:tRNA from 1 species